UUUGCACGUAGGCUAAAGACUACUUGUGAUUUCUAUGUAGUAUUAUUUUCAGUUGGUUACUGUAACCUGAAGGCAGAAUCUGCAAGCAAAAUAGCAGUGAGCAAGUCCUGGACUGGAUGAUAUGUGUUUUGUCAUGAUUUGUUUGGCUGUAGCAUCUCUCUCUAGUGUUAAGCGCGUCGUGGAUAUGUCCUUGUAGUAUAUGUUUGCUGUCGCAAAUUUUUUACAGUGAUAGGAGUUCUUGCAGACCAAUUUACAGAAGGAGAGGGAUUACAGUGACAGAGCAUUGGACCUUGUCAAGUGGUUUCAGAGGAGGAUGGAGAUGGCUGCCUUACUACAGUGGAGGGCUUAAUAGACUCAACUGUAUUUGCUAUCCCUUUGUGCACUACACGCAUGUUCAGUAGCUGCCAUUUUCUUGUACUAGCACUGCCAAGAUGGAUGUUCCUAAAGAGUUGUGACUCCCAAGUUCCCUGUAUUCUUCCUUCCUUCCUUCUGUCCAAAAUCACAGCACGUUCACAGCACCUUCAAACCUGCAUGUGAUGGACAUAAUAAAAGGUUCAGAACAAUAUGACCCCACAAUUAAGAAUAGUAUGCAAGAACUUAAACAGUUGUAUGCUCCCAAUUAAGCAUAGAUGCAAUAAUAGUACAAUAAUAAUCAAAUAUGCUUGCACUCAUAAACAGAACGAUUUAUUUAUAAAGAUGUAAGUACAUAUAGGCUGAUGAUAAUUUGAGUUACGAUAUGUUAUGCUAACAAUUUUAUGGGACUACAGGUUUUGAGAUCUUUGCUUUCCCAUGCAACCAGUUUGGUGGGCAGGAACUUGGCAUUGAUAAGGAAAAUGUUCAGAUUGCUUGCAUGCCGAGUAUCUGAUUUCUGACAAGGUUUUUUGGUUUGGUCACUCCUUUGUUAUAUGGAAGAAGACUUCAUGGUAGAAGAUAGCGACAGAGUGCUGCCGGAUAAUGAGAUGUUGAAGCGGCAGAUUGAAUCCAUGACACCGAAGUGCAAUUGCGGCAGAUUAUCUCUAUCUUUUCUUUUCAUUUUUGAGUGAGAACAGAAUGAGGAACUGUGUGAUAGUACAUACAAC